UUCUGAGGGUUUUGCAAUUGC
ensembl:piRNA 21ur-2125 ncRNA